rnacentral:rRNA from 1 species
UACAGAGGGUGCGAGCGUUAAUCGGAAUUACUGGGCGUCAAGCGCACGUAGGUGGCGACGUAAGUCGGGUGUGAAAGCCCCGGGCUCAACCUGGGAAUUGCAUUCGAGACUGCAUUGCUGGAGUACGGAAGAGGAAGGCGGAAUUCCCGGUGUAGCGGUGAAAUGCGUAGAUAUCGGGAGGAACAUCAGUGGCGAAGGCGGCCUUCUGGUCCAGUACUGACACUCAAGUGCGAAAGCGUGGGGAGCAAACAGG